GAGGCAAAGGAAACAAAAUGCUUGCUCGAAUCCUUGGUAGAAUGUUGAAGGAUCAACAUGCGCAAGGCAUCCAGUGGCCACGUGAACGUUAUCCCCAGGGUGGUGUGCGGUUAGCUGGUUUGUUUUUGAAUGCAGCUGUACGGAAGUGCGGGUCUUGGGGGCGGGACUGGCUGCAGUGGGGAAUUGUGCUCCUCUCCAGUGGUGUAGAAUGGGGGGCACCGGGGCAGUUGCCCCAGGUGCAAAAUUGUUAAGGGUGCCAAAUUUCAACACCCAGUGCUGCCUCGGCAGAGCUUCCAUUCCUGGGCUCCAGACAACGGAUCAACUCUUCUCUUCUUGGCUCUGCAGCUGAGAUCUCCCAGGUCAAAGUCUCUCCCUCCAGCUCCAAAGCUUCUCACCCUGCCAAGAUCAGUUUUGCCUUUCUGCAGAAUGGGUGCAAGAAUCACACAAGUUCCAGCCACGGGUGGAUUUAAGGGGAAGAGUGUCUGCAACAGUGCCUGCUCUCAUAGAAGAAACCUAGAUUUCCACAGAGGGAGAAACAAGGCCAAGACAUUUUUGCUGCCUGAGACAAAAACAUAGCUUUUCUGCCACUGCCACUGCCUCCACCACCACGACCUGAAGCGACUGGAGGCAGCCUGGGGACACCCUGGUGCACUGAAGGCAGUGGGGGAGAUAAAAGGAGGUCAGAGAGGAGUGGGAAGUGGCAGCAGCAGCAGCAGCAGCCCUGUUCUUACCAGGUGACAACCAUGGGUGACAAGCGAAAGAGGCAGGGAGCAGCAUGCUGUUCCGUGUUCAGACCCUGGCUUCUCCAGGGUCUCAGGAAGCAGGGGAUGUGAAAAGCUUUGGCCUUAGAUGCCGGAGAGCAACUUCCCGUCAGAGUAGACAAUGGGGAGAUGUAAACAGACAAGUAGUAUAAGGCUAUACACACACACGGCAAAGAAGGCAAGUAAAGAGGCCUAAUACUUGAGUGUUUAUUAUGAAAGUGUUUUCAAAUCAAAAUUCACAAUAUUGAUUGGAUCCAAAUAUUCCAGGAAGAAUUUUAAUUUUUCAUAUUUAAAAGGGGGGGGGGGGGGAGAGAAAAGAAACCCAGAAGCAAAAUCCAAGGCUAAAACACAGUGCUGUAUUUCUGACAGUGAAAUAUACCAGUAAGUUAUAGUUCAAAGAGUUCCUCAAACGGUUGGAUUGUCUUGAAAACACAGGUGGAAAAUUGCACCAUUUUGUCCUGACCUGACCUGCUGAAAGUAACCACCAUGCAGAGCACACAAAUGUGGCUACUGUUUUCAGUAUUUAGAAAUUUGCAGGGAGAUAGAAAAACACCCUCUUGUGCAUCAAACCAGCGUGUACCGUUCUUCUUUGAGAUGAUUCUCAUUACCAGUGGUCCUAGUCAACCUACACAUCACUAAAGCCCUAGGCUAAAAUUAAGGCCGAAAUAAAUACACGUACCCCCUCCUGCCCUCCAUUAAAGUAAGUGGAGGCUAUUUCCUAAGUGUAUAACUUUAUACAAGCAGAUCAGUUGCUUCAGUUUCUCUGUCAUUACAACUGGAACUUCCUUGUAAGGAAAAAUGUGCUAAGUAACUUUUCAAUAAAUAAACAAAUAAAUACCAA